AAACUUAAAGGAAGUUGACGGGGCCGCACAAGCGGAGGAACAUGUGGUUUAAUUCGAUGAUACGCGAGGAACCUUACCUGGGCUUAAAUGUAGAGCGACAGAUCGGGAAACUGGUCCUUCUUCGGACGAUCUACAAGGUGCUGCAUGGUUGUCGUCAGCUCGUGCCGUGAGGUGUCGGGUUAAGUCCCAUAACGAGCGCAACCCUUAUCGUUAGUUGCCAGCGGGUAAUGCCGGGGACUCUAACGAAACUGCCGGUGUAAACCGUGAGGAAGGUGGGGAUGACGUCAAAUCAGCACGGCCCUUAUGUCCAGGGCGACACACGUGUUACAAUGGCCGGUACAGAGGGCAGCUACCUGGUGACAGGAUGCAAAUCUCCAAAACCGGUCUCAGUUCGGAUCGAAGUCUGCAACUCGACUUCGUGAAGCUGGAUUCGCUAGUAAUCGCGCAUCAGCCAUGGCGCGGUGAAUACGUUCCCGGGCCUU
rnacentral:rRNA from 1 species